CUAAACAAUUUUGUGGAAAUGACAAUCAAAUCACAUGGUCAUUCACUAAACUGAUAAUUCAAAGUGAAUUUUAAAUAUUAAAAAUAGCAGAACUAGAAAAAUCUGCUACUUUGGUCUUAAAGAGACACUAUAGUCACCAGAACAACUACAGCUUAUUGUAUUUGUUCUGGUGAGUAGAAUCAUUUUCAGGCCUUUUGCCGUAAACACGGUUUCAAAGGAAAUUGCAGUGUUUACAUUACAGCCUAAGGAUACCUCCACUGACCACUACUCAGAUGACUACUAGAGGUGCCUCCUGGGGCAGUGUUGCACAGUGUGACUGACAUUCAGUGUCUCCACCUUCUGCAUGCAGACACUGAACUUUCCUCAUAGAGAUGCAUUGGCGUUUGGCUCCACUCCCUGCCCCGCCUUCUUGGCAGUCUCAGCAAAUCCAAUGCUUUGCUUUAGGAAUACAUUGUGAUUGGCUGAGAACUCUGCUUCUGAUGAAGUCAGCCUAGGAGGCAGACGAGGGGCCUAGCGAGCAGCAGACUGGAGUAAAGGUAAGAGUUUAUAUUUAAGAGAGGGGCUAGAUAGUGAUUUUAACAGUAUAGGGUCAGGAAUACAUGUUUCUAUUCCUGACCGUAGUGUUCCUUUAAGUUUGAAAUUCACUUUGAAUUCUCCCUUUAGUGAAUAACCCUGGUCAAAGCAAGCCAUUGAUCUGAUUGCAAUAAUUUUUUUCCCAGUGUCUCCACCCUCUGUAUGGAGACGCUGAACUUUCCCCAUUGAGAUGCAUUGAUUCAAUGUAUCUUUAGGAGGAAAUGCUGAUUGGUCAGCAGUGUUUUGUUGCACAUGCUCCAACUCCCAAUGUUUUCCUAUGAGAACACAUUGGAUUGGCUGAAAUCAUUAAAUUUGAUAAUCUCAGCCAAGGGGGCAGAGCCAGCCACAACCAGUCCUGCACGGCACUGGGAAAAGGUGAGUAAAUUAUCUUUUUAACCGGAGGUUAAUAACUAUUUAGACUUCUAGUAUCAGGGAUAUAUUAUGGGGAGAUUUAUUUAAAAUAAAUAAAUACUUGAGAGAAUAGUUCUGUUUUCUAUUGGGUCAGUUUGUGUCACAUUGAAAUCUUCAUUUUUACCCCCUCUGCCCACUCCAGAGCAUAAACAUAUGCUGUGGUUUGUGGUCAGGGCUCUUGUAUGCUGCACAACUUAACACUGAAAACUGAGCUUUAAGGGUAUUUCUCAGUACCAACUGUAUAUAGAAUCACCAGGAUCAGCCAGGUGAUCAGCCACUUCCAGGUGCGUUGAAAGCAGAGUGAAGAAAUGGCAUAUGGUGGGUUUGCAGCAAAUCUAGUGAUGUAUCAUGAUUUAAUGCAAUAUCCGAGCCACUUCAAAACUUGAAGGGACACCCCCACUCAAAC